UACGGGGGGGGCAAGCGUUGUUCGGAAUUACUGGGCGUAAAGGGCGUGUAGGCGGCCAACUAAGUCCGACGUGAAAUCCCCAGGCUUAACCUGGGAACUGCGUCGGAUACUGGAUGGCUUGAAUCCGGGAGAGGGAUGCGGAAUUCCAGGUGUAGCGGUGAAAUGCGCAGAUAUCAGGAGGAACACCGAUGGCGAAGGCAGCUCGCUGGGACGGUACUGACGCUGAGACGCGAAAGCGUGGGGAGCAAACAGG
rnacentral:rRNA from 1 species